CCCUUAGAUGUUCUGGGCAGCACGCGCGCUACACUGACGAUGGCAACGAGUUUUUCCUUCACCGAAAGGUGUGGGUAAUCUUUUGAAACAUCGUCGUGCUGGGGAUAGAUCAUUGCAAUUUUUGAUCUUGAACGAGGAAUUCCUAGUAAGCGCGAGUCAUCAGCUCGCGUUGAUUACGUCCCUGCCCUUUGUACACACCGCCCGUCGCUACUACCGAUUGAAUGGUUUAGUGAGGACUCCUGAUUGGCGCCGCCGCCCCGGCAACGGAGCAGCGGACUGCCGAAAAGUUGUUCAAACUUGAUCAUUUAGAGGAAGUAAAAGUCGUAACA
rnacentral:rRNA from 1 species